UAUCUCUCCGUACGGGGAAGGAUGAGAAGCUUCGACUAAGGUUCGAUUCGAGCGCAGCGAGAAAGCGUUGCCGCAGGCAACGACCCGAAGGGCGAAGCGCGCAGCGCUG
rnacentral:sRNA from 1 species